UAGGGAAUAUUAGUAAUGGGCGAAAGCCUGAACUAGCAACGCCGCGUGUGCGAAGAAGGCCUUCGGGUUGUAAAGCACUUUUUGAGAGGAUGAGGAAGGACGGUACUCUCAGAAUAAGUCUCGGCUAACUACGUGCCAGCAGCCGCGGUAACACGUAGGAGGCGAACGUUAUCCGGAUUUACUGGGCGUAAAGCGCGUGUAGGUGGUUUGGUAAGUAGGGCGUGAAAGCUCCUGGCUCAACUGGGAGAGGCCGUUCUAAACUGCCGAACCAGAGGAUGGUAGAGGGAGGUGGAAUUCCGGGUGUAGCGGUGGAAUGCGCAGAUAUCCGGAGGAACACCAGUGGCGAAAGCGGCCUCCUGAACCAUUCCUGACACUCAGACGCGAAAGCUAGGGUAGCAAACGGGAUUAGAGACCCCGGUAGUCCUAGCCCUAAACGAUGCUAGACUAGGCGUCGGUGGUUUAAACGCCAUCGGUAGCCAUGCUAACGCGAUAAGUCUACCGCCUGGGGACUACGGCCGCAAGGUUAAAACUCAAAGGAA
rnacentral:rRNA from 1 species